CACGUAGGGCGCAAGCGUUGUCCGGAAUUAUUGGGCGUAAAGAGCUCGUAGGCGGUCUGUUACGUCUGCUGCGAAAACCCGGGGCUCAACCCCGGGCCUGCAGUGGAUACGGGCAGACUAGAGGCAGGUAGGGGAGAAUGGAAUUCCCGGUGUAGCGGUGAAAUGCGCAGAUAUCAGGAGGAACACCGGUGGCGAAGGCGGGUCUCUGGGCCGAUACUGACGCUGAGGAGCGAAAGCGUGGGGAGCGAACAGG
rnacentral:rRNA from 1 species